GCAUUCCCUGAGAGACUUGGUAUUGUGUGAGAACAUCCUGUUGAUGAAGCCAUAAAUCAGAAGAGACCUGAAGGAUAAGCCAUAUAUCUUCAUAUAAACUGUUAUCUUCAAAAAGAAACCUCAUUCUCAACUCAGAAACGGGGUCACUGAGGUGAAAACCUUGAAAACAACUUGCAGCUCGCUAAGUUAGUUACUUGGAAAACCGUGGAUAGGAUGCACACCUACUAAGUCCAGGUAGUACAAGCUGUUUUGUUUCCAUAUACUGCUUCAGAGGAUACAGAUUUACCGGCCACUGAAGCUACUCAUCAAAAGAGGUUUCCUCAGGUAAUGGAGAGAAGUCAAAAUCCUCAGGUUACAACCUAAAGAUUAUUAAGCAGAGGU
rnacentral:lncRNA from 1 species